UACGUAGGGGGCAAGCGUUGUUCGGAAUUACUGGGCGUAAAGCGCGCGUAGGCGGUUUGAAAAGUCAGAUGUGAAAGCCCCGGGCUCAACUUGGGAACUGCAUUUGAUACUGUCAGACUAGAGUACAGAAAAGGUGACUGGAAUUCCCAGUGUAGCGGUGAAAUGCGUAGAUAUUGGGAGGAACACCAGAUGCGAAGGCGGGUCACUGGGCUGAUACUGACGCUGAAGUGCGAAAGCCAGGGGAGCGAACGGG
rnacentral:rRNA from 1 species